rnacentral:lncRNA from 1 species
AGCUAUUACAUCAAAUGAGUGGCUUUGUGGGCAUACUUUCAACAAUUCCUUUAUAGGGUGCAAGGAAUCCUUCACCAUUUGUAUAACCACCAUCUACAAGGUAAUAAUAACCCAAUAAUAAAAAAAAUUAAAAAAGACCUUAUUAGUAUUUUGCAGUUCAUAAACAAAACCAGACCUAACUUACAAAUUUGAGACUAACUAAUGGUUUUACCCGCUGGUACCUUUAAACCAUUAGGCCUUGUAAUUGCAUCAUGUAGCACUCUAAAGUCUAAUGCAGAGCCCUUCCACCCCGAAAACACAUAUAUGAACUGCAUAUCCCUGAACACACACCUAACACAUUAGUUACGACUCGACCCUUUCUUGUUCGGUAUCUAGGUUUGUCAAUUUUAGGUACAUGCACAUCAAUGUGCAUUCCAUCUAAUGCUCCCAAGCAAUGCGAAACAAAAAAUAUGCUUUUGUUAAUUUAUAUAAAGGAAAUAUCUAGUUAAAGAUUAGGGAAAAUUGAAAAAAUUAUCAACAUACCUUAAAACACCGCCACCUAUCAUCUAUAGAAUCAAUAGGCACAUGCUAAGGGACUUUUAAUAGGAUAGCUAAUAAUCGCAAAAUUCCUUGCAAUACACUAUUGAAAUACCUACUUAUAGUCUCUCCCGACCUAUAAAAUCUACCACCAAUACUAUGAUUAUUAGUAUGAUGUGUUAGUAUUUGUAAAGUCCUACACAUCUGCUCUUCCAGAGACACCAAACCAUCAUCUUUUACCCUCCCAUCUUGAUGAAGUAAGUCACAUAAUAUGCCAAAAGUUUUUCUAUCCAAUCUCAAUUCGUUGACACAUUCAAUAUCAGUAUUCCCUAUUAUACCAUUCAGAUAACACCAACUAAUUUGUCGUCUAACAAGUGAAUGAUUAGUCAAAGUGCAUCAUUCAACUUGUCUUUGUUUGGCCCUUAGCAUCAACAACACAAGAAUCGUACAAAUGCAAAUUGUCUCUAAAUAAGACAUCUCUAACAAUAAGAUCAAUAAAAGCUUCAUUCGAUCCAUAUCUAUCCAAACUUCAAAAAAAAAAAAAAUGAGGACAUGAUAUAUGUAAUAUCACUGUUAUUAAGGGUGAUGGAAAAGAAGCAAUUAUGAUAUCAAUUGAACUAGAUCAAAAGAAUUCAUGAUACAAAGCAACUGGAUCACAAAGAUGCAAGUUACUGAUAAUGACAUAAUAAGAGACAUCAAGUUUGUGUAUUGACAAUGACAUAAUAAGAGACAUCAAGUUUGUGCUCAAGGGAUGUGAUAACUCAUAUAUAUUUCAUACAUUUAUACCAUCCAUUCCUAGUCCCUUUGUGAUAUUGUUGAGUUAAACUAGUUGUAUUUUACCCUCUUUUGUGUUAGCGUGCAACUAAUCGUAUUUUGGUGCUCAGUUGAGGACAAAUAAGGGUUUCCUCUCGACAGGCUAUUCUUGGAGAAGUUCAACAUCAGAAUUGCUUCAAGGGUUUCCUCUCUCUUUGAUUUAUUUUCACUCAUGUUGUGUAAUUCCAAUUUCAUCUUUGUGAACAUGAUGUGUAACUAACUUCAUAGCUAGGGAUUUCUAUGUAACCUUGCACAAUUGACCCAUGUUUUUAUGUUAAAAUAUUCAAUUCAUCAAUCUGUCUCUUGUUUCAUUCAUUGAAUCUUUUGUUAAAUUUGUUUGUUAAUUUUAAUGACUGAUCACAUUAGGAUUUCUUAUAGAUCAUUUGAUCAAGAUUAUAGUAAACAUCAUGCUUAAUCUUGGUAGACAUGUGAAUGAAUGAAGAGAAUACUAUGCAAACAUCUUGCCAUGUAUUUUCUUUGGUUCUUUAAUGUUUUCUUGCAUGCUAAAGACUCUUAAUUUGGAACCGAAGUUGAACAUCCCAAUUAGGUUGUAGAUUAGCAGAAUUCGAUCAAAACCACACAUCAUAUGGCUGAUCAUGUAUAUGUAAAACGAACUCUGGAAACAUGUUGGUAAUUGAAUACGAUUUAACUUUAUAAACAUGGAAUUGGUUUUGUAAUGGUGAACUCGAAAUCCCUAGACCCAUCCUCAUCGUUUCUCACUCAACAUAUCAUUCGUUGUUACAUUUUUCUUGCAUUUUUUUAGUUAUUCUCAUUAACAGCACAAAACCUACAUUCAAUUUGUUAUUUUCAUUGUUUGGUUAGGGUUUUUUCAAGGCUAGUAAUUUAUAGACGUCUAAUCAGUCCUUGUGGUUCGACACCCUUACUUGUGCCAUUACACUAACCAUAUACUGUACUCAGAAGGAACACAACAGGAUGCAUGGAUGAAGCAUUUGUCUAUACUUAAGGGACAUCAAGUUUGUGUCUUCAAUGCACUUUUAUAUAGGAGUGAUGCAUACAUGUGAGUGCAUCAAUAAAAGAAAACUAAUAAAAUGAAAACUAAACAAAGAAAUAUAUGAGAAUGAAACCUUCUUUUCACAAACCAAGUUCUGUUUUGUGAAUCUGUAACUGUAAUUGAAUAAAUUGCAACAACAAUAGAGUACCAAUUAGAAUACAAGCGAAGCUAAAGUCCAAUACAGGUUCCUUUAUCUCAAGGAGAUAUGCAUAUGAUAUGGUUAAAAAAGGUUGAAAAUGGCAAGAUCCUGGAACAAACCUAACUUUUAAUAAGAUGUAUAUUAAGACACUCAAUGCUAUCAUCGAAGGAUGUGCCGCCCCUGUUGGAUGGUUUGGCCAUCCUUAUUGGAAGGUCCAGUACAUCCAUGGAUAGCCAAUCAAUCUAUCUUGGCCUAAAGCACGAUAAACCACUCAUUUCCCUAGAAAAGGAAGAUUAAGACACAAAAUGAGUCUAUACUCGAUCGUUGUCUCAAAUCAUUUCCAUCUCAUGAGAUUAAUUGAUAAGCUUAUAUUUAUAUAUAUAUUUUACAUCAAAUUCACUUGUCUUUUCUUAGUUAGUUCCUUAUAUUUUUGAGCUAUGUACUUUGCUUUUGUGUUUUGUAGGAUUUGUCAAGUAAAGAAAAGAAAAAUAGCACAAGUGGGAUUUUAAGUAACAAAUUCAUAAAAAAUGCUUGUGCAGGUCAGCUGAAUUUGGAAGAAAUUUUCAAAUAGCUCAGAAUGAAUUAGAGAAUGAGCCUUAUAUGCUUGGAAAGCUACGGAUGUCUAUUUUCUGGAGCAUUUCGUGGAUUGUUAAUAUCAUUUUUUUAGAAGAAGUUAUGACCAUUUUAACACUAAAAGGUUCCCAAGAGGUUGAGUAGUUUGUAACUAACAAGACUGCAAUGAAAAUAAUAAACCCAAUAAAUCUAACAGCUAAAACUGAUGCAGCCAAGAACAAGUCAGCUGAUACUUAUUCAAAUAUAAAAGGGAAUGAAAUUAAAGAUGAGGACUAAGAGGGAGUAAUUGGCAUAAAGGCUACCCAAAGAGUUACAAUUGUUUUACCAUUUCUUCUCACUUAUUGUCAUCACUAAAUGGCUAUUAGUGGGUGAGUCAAGGAGAAGAAAAUGAUGCAAAAAUAAUUGGUUUAAAAGCAGCAUUGGGGAAUGAAGGAAAGAGGAGGAGGUCUUAGUCAAUUUCUUUCGGUUCUAUCUUCUAAAACUCAUUUCUAUCUUUUGUUUUAACUUAAGGAUUGUGUGUUACUAAAUUUUUAGUAGUUAGAGGCUGUUUCGAAGCCCGGAAUAUGAUUGCAAGUUUGUUAUGACAUUUCGUUUGAAUUACUUUUAUGAAUGGAUGAAAAUUGGUUCACUACUUGUCUCAUUGAUGAAUUCUUUAUUUGUUUUCUAUGGAUGCAUAUGUAGUACUUGUUAAUUGCGAUUAACAUGUGAACCAAUUUCUAGGAUAAGUAAGACAACACUAGUACUUACGAUGCCUUGUGAUGACUCAAACUCUUUUCGUUCUUAAUAAUUUCUACUUGUUAAAUCUAUGAACAUGCCAUUCUAGAUUGCAUGCUAGGGACUAAGUUAAGUUGAAAACGUCAUUCUCUUAACAUACUACAUAAGAGUAAUAGGUUUAGUUCUAACAUUGAGCCAACUUGAGCAUCUUCAUCUAGAAAUAAAAGGAAUUUGAAUGAAACAUAACAUGUUUGCAUAUUUAUAUGGUGGUGGAUAGCAAUUCCCCUGACUCGUUUUUCUUAAUUUGUGAACUACUUAAAAUCUGUUUCUGUCCUAUUUUUGUUCGAUUUAAUUUAAAUAGCAAAUCAACUACAAAAAUUCCAAACAUUUGUGUGAGUGUAGUUCUGUGUGUCUAGUGUUGGCAUAUAAAAUUUCGUAGACUUUAGAUAAGUGUAAGUCGGUCUGAUAAUUAUUUUUCAGUGGAUGGUCAGUACGGACAACAACCCAGUUUUUGUGACAUUUUAAGUAGUUAGAUAAAACAAUCUUCUGUGAGAAAGACCCUGAUUUUCAUAUGCUACAAUUGACAAAGCUUAGUGUUAAUAAGGAAAAUCAAUAAGACAUUUGUGUGCUACUUUGUGGUGUGCUUUUAAUCCUAUCAUUAAUCCGGAUUACUCCCAAGGCUUGAAGUUCUUGGCCUAGUACAUACUAGUUUGGAUGAGAUAAUGGAAUUGGAAUGAGAUUAUCAUCGAUGAUGUUUUCACUUAUAUGGUCGCUACUAACAUAAAUGAAAAGCGACCAUAUUGAACCAUGUUCCGUUGAUUAGUGACAACGUAGAACUAAUUGGACAAUCGAAAUUACAAUCAAGGUUAAAAUUCCUUACCAAAGUGUGUUUAGACCUAUCUUUCCCACAUUGCCCAAGGUAACCCUGUUGUGUUACAAGUGGGAAAGGAAUUGUAAUGAGAUGAAUGGAAUAGUUGAAUAUGAUGCACACCUUACGACGCAAGGUUUGUCUCAAAUGCCCUGUGAUUGAUUGCAGCAUUACGAAUGUGGUUAGUGUUUCUCUAUGGGGAUAUUGGUAUGGAGAUUACAUGUAAGUUCCCGAAGAAUUACAUGGACUGGUUUAAAUAGUUCUAAACCAUGGAACACCCUCUCAAUUCACUUAAGGUGUUCAUUUACGGAUUGAAACAAUCUGACGGAUGUGGUAUACCCGUCAAAAUGAUUAUUUGAUCAGUCAUGGAUAUGAAUAAAAGCCCUUGCGUUGAAGGAAAUUUUGUGAAAAACAUGUUCAUUUAAGCAACAUCUAUAGCAUGCAAUUAACAAUUAAAAGGCGGAAUCGUGCUUGUAUGCACUUAAAAACAAAACAUUAACCAUGAAAUUCAAAGCCUAGUAGAUUG